rnacentral:rRNA from 1 species
AAAAAAGMSRYACKMRARWRRMAUAUMAUUUGCCUUUUAAUGGAGGCUGGAUGAUGGCAGACGAAAAUUUAACUGUCUCUUUUUCAUCAUCCUGAAAUUAAUUUCCUUGUGAAGAAGCAGGGAUGAAAUCGUGGGACGAGAAGACCCUAUUGAGCUUAAACAAAAAAGAUAAAUAUAUUUUUUUUAUUCUGAACUAAUUAUUAAUAAAAAGUAGAAUUUUAUCGGAGAUAAAAGUGAUGUUAUAUGUUUUUUGUUUUGGUUGGGGCAACCGCGGAGAAAAAUUAACCUCCGUUAAUAAGAAAGAAAAAGAUACUUCUUUAAAAGGUAAUUUGUUAAGUGACCCACUAUAAGAGUGAUCAAAGGAAAAAGUUACCAUAGGGAUAACAGCGUAAUUUUUUUGGAGAGUUCAUAUUGAUAAAAAAGUUUGCGACCUCGAUGUUGGAUCGGGAUUUCCUGGGGGUGCAGCAGCUCCCGAGGGUUGGUCUGUUCGACCAUUAAAAUCCUACGUGAUCUGAGUUCAGACCGGGAUWG